GUCUACGGCAAUGCCACCCCGAACAAGCCCGAUUCCGUCUGAUCUCAGAAGCUAAGCAGGGUUGGGCCUGGUUAGUACUUGGAUGGGAGACCACCUAGGAGAUCAGGCGCUGUAGGUG
rnacentral:rRNA from 1 species